rnacentral:rRNA from 1 species
ACGCUGGCGGCGCGCCUAACACAUGCAAGUCGAACGGAGCUGUUUUCUCUGAAGUUUUCGGAUGGAAGAGAGUUCAGCUUAGUGGCGAACGGGUGAGUAACACGUGAGCAACCUGCCUUUCAGUGGGGGACAACAUUUGGAAACGAAUGCUAAUACCGCAUAAGACCACAGUGUCGCAUGGCACAGGGGUCAAAGGAUUUAUCCGCUGAAAGAUGGGCUCGCGUCCGAUUAGCUAGAUGGUGAGGUAACGGCCCACCAUGGCGACGAUCGGUAGCCGGACUGAGAGGUUGAACGGCCACAUUGGGACUGAGACACGGCCCAGACUCCUACGGGAGGCAGCAGUGGGGAAUAUUGCACAAUGGGGGAAACCCUGAUGCAGCGACGCCGCGUGGAGGAAGAAGGUCUUCGGAUUGUAAACUCCUGUCCCAGGGGACGAUAAUGACGGUACCCUGGGAGGAAGCACCGGCUAACUACGUGCCAGCAGCCGCGGUAAAACGUAGGGUGCAAGCGUUGUCCGGAAUUACUGGGUGUAAAGGGAGCGCAGGCGGAUUGGCAAGUUGGGAGUGAAAUCUAUGGGCUCAACCCAUAAAUUGCUUUCAAAACUGUCAGUCUUGAGUGGUGUAGAGGUAGGCGGAAUUCCCGGUGUAGCGGUGGAAUGCGUAGAUAUCGGGAGGAACACCAGUGGCGAAGGCGGCCUACUGGGCACUAACUGACGCUGAGGCUCGAAAGCAUGGGUAGCAAACAGGAUUAGAUACCCUGGUAGUCCAUGCCGUAAACGAUGAUUACUAGGUGUGGGAGGAUUGACCCCUUCCGUGCCGCAGUUAACACAAUAAGUAAUCCACCUGGGGAGUACGACCGCAAGGUUGAAACUCAAAGGAAUUGACGGGGGCCCGCACAAGCAGUGGAGUAUGUGGUUUAAUUCGAAGCAACGCGAAGAACCUUACCAGGUCUUGACAUCGGAUGCAUACCUAAGAGAUUAGGGAAGUCCUUCGGGACAUCCAGACAGGUGGUGCAUGGUUGUCGUCAGCUCGUGUCGUGAGAUGUUGGGUUAAGUCCCGCAACGAGCGCAACCCUUAUCGUUAGUUACUACGCAAGAGGACUCUAACGAGACUGCCGUUGACAAAACGGAGGAAGGUGGGGAUGACGUCAAAUCAUCAUGCCCUUUAUGACCUGGGCUACACACGUGCUACAAUGGGCGGUACAAAGGGUCGCGAACCCGCGAGGGGGAGCCAAUCCCAAAAAGCCGCUCUCAGUUCGGAUUGCAGGCUGCAACUCGCCUGCAUGAAGCCGGAAUCGCUAGUAAUCGCGGAUCAGCAUGCCGCGGUGAAUACGUUCCCGGGCCUUGUACACACCGCCCGUCACACCACGAGAGUUUGCAACACCCGAAGUCGGUGAGGUAACCCUUACGGGAGCCAGCCGCCGAAGGUGGGGCAAAUA